rnacentral:rRNA from 1 species
UGGGGAAUAUUGCACAAUGGAGGGAACUCUGAUGCAGCGACGCCGCGUGAGUGAUGAAGGAAUUCGUUUCGUAAAACUCUGUUCUAUGGGAAGAAAAGGACUGUACCAUAGGAGAAAGCUCCGGCUAAAUACGUGCCAGCAGCCGCGGUAAUACGUAUGGAGCGAGCGUUGUCCGGAAUUAUUGGGCGUAAAGGGUGCGCAGGCGGCUUUACAAGUUGGAUGUGAAAUAUUGUGGCUCAACCACAAACGUGCAUCCAAAACUGCAAAGCUUGAGUUAAGGAGAGGUAAGUGGAAUUCCUGGUGUAGCGGUGGAAUGCGUAGAUAUCAGGAGGAAUACCGGUGGCGAAGGCGACUUACUGGACUUAAACUGACGCUCAGGCACGAAAGCGUGGUGAGCAAACAGG